GUGUGUGUUUUGUUGUUGCUGUUUUGUUUUGUUUUCUGGCUCAGAAGAUCCUUGUUGGAUUGUUUCAAGGAGGCAGACAUGACCAGCACUAAGAUAGGAGGUUGGGUCUCCCAGCACCUGUGGAGCUGCAGCAUCUUCCAGCAGAGGCAGGCCUUGACCCUGCUGCAGGGAGCUGCCCUUCACAGCCAUGCCUGCUGCUUCUGUCUCCCUCUCUGCUCAGAUGAGGUUGAAGGGAAUUCUUUGUUACCCUCUGAGAAUUACCUUCUUCUGUCUACCACCUCUUCUGCUCAGAAGAAGCAGAAGCUCUCCUCAUUUAACAAACAAGAAGGAAGGUGGCAUUUUUGAAAAUGGUAGCUAUCCAUGUAGUUCUGGAAAUGUCCGCGUUAUUUUUUGAUCUCUAUCAAAAAACAUACUUUGUGCUAUAAGGGAUAAUGGGCAAAAACGUAUGCAGCCAUACAGCCAAGUGACCUCAGAAAGCUUGGUGCCCUUAGAGAAAGGGCAAGAAACCAAGGUGGUUGGAGUCUGCCUUGCUGCUUAUGCUUGGGACCAAUAAAGUCUGUAGCAACCAGGAUAGAAAUACUUGG
rnacentral:lncRNA from 1 species